GUCCUAUAACGCAAUGCAUAGCGCGUUGGACUUCUAAUCCAAAGGUCGUGGGGUCGAAUCCCACCUGAGAUG
rnacentral:tRNA from 1 species